GGAGAAUCGGCCGCGAGGUGAGGCACCGGCCCGGUUCGGGCCGAGGUCGGGUCACCGGCCCGCGCACGUUCGCUCCGUGCAUCCUCCGC
rnacentral:tRNA from 1 species